rnacentral:lncRNA from 1 species
CCUAAAUUAUUUUUUUUCUGUUUUGAACUUUAAGAAAUUAAAAAAAAAAAAAAAAUAGAUAAUAUUCUCUGUUACGUGCCAAGAGAAAGUAAGUACUGUAUUUAAUGCUUUUUAGAGCUUUAUAAUCUCUAAAAGUUCGAAGUUUCGACUUACGUUAUCGCCAUUGCAGUGUUUUAUCAACCUGUUUCGAACAGAAACUGCUGCACCUGGUUUGUUUCAGAGUUGUUGCCAUUGUUAGGCACUAUCUGCUGCAUUUAUAUUAAGAACCUACUUAUACUUUUAGAAUAUAGAAUGUGUUAGACUUGUCAAUAAUCCAAUUCGUUUGGGAAUAAAGGAGCAAACUUUGAUUUUUCUAUAGGUUACAUAGAACAUAAUGCGGAAUCUCACUAACGGGUUUACGUUAUCUCUCUAUGUAGGCCUUUGAUAAACGCGUGUUAGAGAUGGCAGAUACGUGCAAAUAAAGAAAAAAAAAUCGGAGAAGGAAGUCAAUUAACAUUUCCUUCGAAAGUCGUAUUAAAAAAACAAGUAAAGGAGAGAGACGAAUACGCUCCAUUCGACCUCUGUAAUGUCUACACACAAGUCUGGAAUUACUAGGAGCAGCCUUUUUUUUCUCUCGUUUUAUGCCUUUGGGUCAGGUCUACAUCCGGGUCUGCAAAGCCUCCCCUCCCAUAUCAGGCCUCUAGCACCCAAAGAUGUGUGGCAUAAAUUCCUUCAGACAAUUGUUCUGUCGGAAACGUCAUCGUUUAUGAUGUGCCGAAGUAAUUAUUAAAUUCUACUACGACCUUGGGUUAGAUUCCUUAAAAAUUGCGUUUUGUCUAAGAAAAGAAAAAAUUAUAUUGAGGUUGGACUUUGGGGAAAAUAAUAAAAAAAAAAAAAAAAAAUUAAC